rnacentral:rRNA from 1 species
UAACGAAUCUUCCGCAAUGGGCGCAAGCCUGACGGAGCAAUGCCGCGUGUGGGAUGAAGCGUCUCUGACGUGUAAACCACUGUCAGGGGUUAGAAACAAUGAUCAACCCCAAAGGAAGUGGCGACUAACUCUGUGCCAGCAGUCGCGGUAAUACAGAGGCCACAAGCGUUAGUCGGAAUCACUGGGCUUAAAGGGUGCGUAGGCUGGUCCGCAAGCGUCUUGUGAAAGCCCUCGGCUCAACCGAGGAACAGCAGGGCGAACUGCGGAUCUUGAGGCAGGUAGGGGUCGCGAGAACAGUAGGUGGAGCGGUGAAAUGCGUAGAUAUCUACUGGAAUGCCGAUGGUGAAGACGCGCGACUGGGCCUGUCCUGACGCUGAGGCACGAAAGCGUGGGGAGCAAACAGGAUUAGAUACCCAUGUAGUCCCUGAGCGGGCUGGCAAGGCGCAU